rnacentral:piRNA from 1 species
GACAGAGAAAACAAGGUGGUGAACUAUGCCC